rnacentral:rRNA from 1 species
ACGAACGCUGGCGGCGUGCCUAAUACAUGCAGGUAGAACGCUGAAGAGAGGAGCUUGCUCUUCUUGGAUGAGUUGCGAACGGGUGAGUAACGCGUAGGUAACCUGCCUUGUAGCGGGGGAUAACUAUUGGAAACGAUAGCUAAUACCGCAUAACAAUGGAUGACACAUGUCAUUUAUUUGAAAGGGGCAAUUGCUCCACUACAAGAUGGACCUGCGUUGUAUUAGCUAGUAGGUGAGGUAACGGCUCACCUAGGCGACGAUACAUAGCCGACCUGAGAGGGUGAUCGGCCACACUGGGACUGAGACACGGCCCAGACUCCUACGGGAGGCAGCAGUAGGGAAUCUUCGGCAAUGGGGGCAACCCUGACCGAGCAACGCCGCGUGAGUGAAGAAGGUUUUCGGAUCGUAAAGCUCUGUUGUAAGUCAAGAACGGGUGUGAGAGUGGAAAGUUCACACUGUGACGGUAGCUUACCAGAAAGGGACGGCUAACUACGUG